GGGCUUGACAUCCCACGAACCUGCCUGAAAGGGCGGGGUGCCCGCAAGGGAGCGCGGAGACAGGUGGUGCAUGGCUGUCGUCAGCUCGUGUCGUGAGAUGUUGGGUUAAGUCCCGCAACGAGCGCAACCCUCACCCCUAGUUGCCACCGGGUCAUGCCGAGCACUCAAGGGGAACUGCCAGCGUCAAGCUGGAGGAAGGCGGGGAUGACGUCAAGUCAUCAUGCCCCUUACGCCCUGGGCUACACACGUGCUACAAUGGCCGGUACAAAGGGAUGCGAGACCGCGAGGUGGAGCUAACCCCAAAAAGCUGGUCUAAGUUCAGAUUGCAGUCUGCAACUCGACUGCAUGAAGGAGGAAUCGCUAGUAAUCGCGCAUCAGCCCGGCGCGGUGAAUACGUUCCCGGGCCUUGUACACACCGCCCGUCACACCACGAAAGCUGUCUGUACUCGAAGUCGCUGAG
rnacentral:rRNA from 1 species